rnacentral:rRNA from 1 species
AUGACUCACCGGCCGCCGACGGGGCCGUCACCACGGCCGCCUCGCCUCGUGCCCCGCCCGCAGAGGGUCGCGCUUGGUCAGCGGCCGAAUCGAGCGAGGCUGAGCCAUGUCGGGAUCCGGCAGCCGCGGCUGGGGCGCUCGCCUCGUGCCCCGCCGCGGAGGCUCGCGCUUGGUCAGCGGUCGAAUCGAGCGAGGCCGAGCCAUGGCGGCAUCCGGCAGCCGCAGCCGGGGCGCUCGCCUCGUGCCCGCCCGCGGAGGCUCGUCGACGUGGUGGCGACGGUUAUCGCCGCCGCCUUCGGCACCAUCCCAGCUCGCAGCCUCGGUCGAUUUGCUCUGCGUCUCCAACCGUCCAAAGAUCCCAACCCUAUCAUCGUCUCCUACCACGAGCUCGGCGACAAGAUCGAGGCAAGUUCGGCUCCGUUCGGAUCUAUGCCGUUCAAGAGGUUCGUGCUGAUCGGGCGGGUGGCCCUGGUGAACUACGGCAAGGACUACAGCCGCCUUGUCGUCAUCGUCGACGUUGUUGACCAGAACAGAAACGUCGAGGACACGGUCCACCGCGAGGUCGAGAUCAUGCAACACCUCUCGGGCCACCCUGCCGUCGUCACGCUGAAGGCCGUCUGCAGCGGCUGCAAAUCGAAGACGUAUGGGUUCUCGUCAAAUGCAAGCUGUAGUACUGUGAAAAAGUGUACUAAUUUUUUGCAGUGCAUUAACUUGAUCAUGGGAUUCUCCGUGAUGGCAGCAAAGAGACAACAUGGGGUGGAGAUGCAGGUCGUCAGUACACUGAAGGCGUUGCGUUCUGUCGGGGUGUUGGGUUCGAUGCAGAGCAUCGGAGACGUUGCCGUUAUCUCUGCAACUGCAACUCAAUGGGGAGACGCCAGUGAUCAAGCGGCAGCGGCCUACAGCCUGGGAGACCUGCACAAGGGAGCCGCCAAGAUCUCCAACGACAUCCUCGACUAUGUCGGGGUUGAGUGCCCAACAUUCCCGAAGAUGGCACCCAAGACAUGUCCGCAGCCAGAACCAGCGAAGUUGCCGUACAAGAAGCUGGGAGAUUCAGAUCUCCUUAUUAGCGAGACAACUCUUGGAAUAAUGAUCUUUGGAGAGCAAAGCACAGAGAAGGAAUCCCAUGAUAUGCUCUCUUAUUCUUUUAAUCAGACAUGUAAUUUAGAGAAAGAGGGAGGAAAGAACUCCUCGGUUGUAGUUCAGAUCAUCGGCCUGCUGUGA